GUUGUAUGGUUAAGUGACUAAGCGUACACGGUGGAUGCCUUGGCAGUCAGAGGCGAUGAAAGACGUAGUAACUUGCGAUAAGCCCAGAUUAGGUAGUAACAACCAUUUGAGUC
rnacentral:rRNA from 1 species